rnacentral:piRNA from 1 species
UAACCACGUAGAACACAGGAUGUCAGCGC